UACGAAGGGGGCUAGCGUUGCUCGGAAUCACUGGGCGUAAAGCGCACGUAGGCGGCUUUUUAAGUCAGGGGGGAAAUCCUGGAGCUCAACUCCAGAACUGCCUUUGAUACUGAGAAGCUUGAGUCCGGGAGAGGUGAGUGGAACUGCGAGUGUAGAGGUGAAAUUCGUAGAUAUUCGCAAGAACACCAGUGGCGAAGGCGGCUCACUGGCCCGGUACUGACGCUGAGGUGCGAAAGCGUGGGGAGCAAACAGG
rnacentral:rRNA from 1 species